rnacentral:rRNA from 1 species
UACGUAGGCAGCAAGCGUUGUUCGGAAUUACUGGGCGUAAAGAGUGUGUAGGCGGUGCUCCAAGUCUGGUGUGAAAUCUCCCGGCUUAACUGGGAGGGUGCAUUAGAAACUGGAAUGCUAGAGGAUGGGAGAGGUAAGCGGAAUUCCUGGUGUAGCGGUGGAAUGCGCAGAUAUCAGGAGGAACACCAACGGCGAAGGCAGCUCGCUGGGACGGUACUGACGCUGAGGCGCGAAAGCGUGGGGAGCGAACAGG